rnacentral:tRNA from 1 species
AAGGCCUUAAGUUAAACAUCAAAACUAAUAACCUUCAAAGCUAUAAAUAAAGGGGUUUCCUUUAGGCCUUG